rnacentral:rRNA from 1 species
GUUGAUCCUGCCAGCAGUCAUAUGCUUGUCUUAAAGAUUAAGCCAUGCACGUCUAAGGAUAAAUAUUUUUAACCGUAAACCUGCGGAUGGCUCAUUAAAUCAGUUACAAUCUACUUCAUUGUAUAAAUUACUUGGAUAACCGUAGUAAUUCUAGAGCUAAUACAUGCAAAAAAUUUGAACUCGCAAGGGAACAAAUGUACUUAUUAGAAUCCAAAAUCAAUACAGGUCAUUCCAAACUCUAGAUUAUACCUUCACGGGUAUUUUUUAGGGGACUUGUAGAAAACAAUUGAAGAAUCAUAGUAAACUUACGAAUCAUAAAUUUAAUUAUUUAUUGAUGAUAGGAACGAGUUUCUGACCUAUUAACUUUCGAUGGUAAUUUAGUGGAUUACCAUGGUUUUCAUGGGUAACGGAGAAUUUGGAUUUGAUUCCGGAGAAAAGGCCUGAGAGACGGCCAUUACUUCCAAGGAAGGCAGCAGGCGCGUAAAUUACCCAAUCCCAAUUCGGGGAGGUAGUGACGAGAAAUACUAGUAUUGGUCCCAAUGGGAACAAUGAUUGGAAUGAGAACAAUUUAAAAACAUUAACGACUAACAAUUGGAGGGCAAGUCUG